GCCGGGGUGGCCGAGCGGACCAAGGCGGUGGACUCGAGAUCCACUACCCCAAAAGGGUGCCCGGGUUCAAAUCCCGGCCCCGGCGCCA
rnacentral:tRNA from 1 species